rnacentral:lncRNA from 1 species
AGAGUGAAGAAGAAGAGGAGGAAGAGGAAUGGCAAAGGGAAGAGAGAGAAGAGGGAGAAGGAAGAAGAGGAGGAGAUUAUGCACGACACUUGUUAAAAUUGCAACACUGAGACGGUAUUAGCAGCCCAGUUCUUCAUUUGAGAAGACCAAAGCACAGAGGGGCUAAGUGAUUUGCCCGGGCCCACACAGCUGGGUUGUUGCUGAGCCAGCAUUUGAAACCAGGGCCCAGAUGGAAGCCAGCUGACAUGCAAGCCUGGGAACUGCAGCCUGCAGAGAUCAACAACCCCACGGAGUCACAGAGCAGAGCAGGUGAAGGAAGAAGAAUGGGUUUGAGGCAAACAGGGCCAGGAUCGGCAGGCCUUGUCCUCCAGGAAGCCUUUCCCACCCCACCUCAGGCUGGAAUAGGGGCCUUCGUAGGCUGAAUGAUGGCCUCCCAAAAAUGUUCACUUCUUAAUCCCUCAACCCUCUGAAUAUUACCUUAUAUGACAAAAGAUGUGACUAAGACGUGUUAAGGAUCUUGAAAAGAGAGACUGAAGCUGGGUUUUCUGGAUGGGCUUCAUAGACAGACACACAGAAGAAAAGGCAAUGUGAAGACAAGACAGAGGCCGGAUGGAGGUGAUGCCACCACAAGCCAAGGAAUGCUGGCAGCUGCUAGAAGCUGGAGGAGACGGGGAACAAAUUCUCUGCUAGAGCCUCCAGAGGAAAGACAGCCCUGUUCACAUCUUGAUUUCAGAAGUCUGGCCUCCAGAACUGCGAAAGAAUACGUGACUGUUAUCUUAAGCUACAAGUCUGUGUAUUGUGCUCCUCCAUCGUAUUCCCAAAACAGCAUCCCUGGCUUCUGUCCCGUGCCCAUUGUCCUUUCAUGCUGAAGCAGCUUAUUGCAUUGUCUUAUCUGUCCUACCAGGCUGACCUCCUUGAGGGCAGAAUUAGAUCUUGGAGAGAGAGCGCCCUAGUUCUCAACAUUGUGACGGGUAUAUAAUGGAUGACAAAUAAAUAUUAACUUGACUUUA